UAUAAAAAGACUAUUUAAAAAAAAAUAGAAAAAAAUCAAUUUUAUUUUCUAUUUAUUAUUUGUCUGUGUCUCGUCACCGAAAACCCAGACACUGGCUGUGAAAAAAAUAUUGAAAGACACUUUAUUUUUUUGUGUGUGUGCCUGUGCAUUUCCUUCGUUUUUAUUUUUUGGGUGGGCACUGGGCAAAGGUAAAGAAAGUUUCCAUCAAAAUCUUCUCUUCAGUUGAGUGCCCUUUUUGCAAUUAAUCUAAUUGGAUUUAUAUUUUGCACACACUCUGACUAGUACGCACGCACACAACACAGCUUAUUUAAGGGGUUAAUUGACUACAAUCGCUCAUUGCUCUCGAGAAGAUUUGUAGGAUACCACCAAAAUGACGUCGACGCAUUGGGAAGAAUUUUAUGCAAAGCAUCUUCCACCAGCUGACUUCGAGGACAAUCGAUCUUUGUUGAAAGAGUUUUGUGACCGUCACAAUAAAUUACAGAAUCGUAUAGUCCUUGUUACGUCUGGUGGCACCACUGUCCCUCUGGAACAUAACACCGUUCGCUUUGUCGAUAAUUUUAGUGCGGGGACACGUGGCUCCUCAUCGGCAGAAUAUUUCCUCGAUCAUGAAUACGCUGUGAUUUUUAUGUAUCGCCAGAAAUCACUGGAGCCUUUCACGCGCCACUUCACCGGCCAGCAGUUCUUCGAUAUGCUCGACAUCACAGACGAUGCACGAGGCACAGCGAUAACAGUGAAACCCGAUUCCGUAGAUGUCUUCGCACCUAUCCUGGCCAAGUACAAAAAUGCCCGCGAAUCGCAAAUGAUUUUGUACGUAAGUUUUACUAGCGUUGUCGACUAUAUGUGGCUGUUGAGAGCUGCAUGUGAGUGCCUAGCUGCGUUCGAAAAUAGGGCGGUGCUCUUCCUGGCAGCAGCUGUAUCUGACUUUUACAUUCCACAAGAUAAAAUGCCAACUCAUAAAAUGCAAUCCGGACAGGGAGCGCCAACAAUAUCCCUACAAUUGGUGCCUAAAAUGUUGGCACCAUUGGCUAACUUAUGGGUGCCACUUGCUUUUGUCGUUUCCUUUAAACUCGAGACUGACGAGAAUUUAUUAAUAGCCAAGUCACGAGACAGUCUUAACAAAUACAAACACAAACUAGUUAUUGCCAAUAUACUACAAACGCGUAAGCAUCGUGUAGUAUUUGUAACUCCUACAACAUCCUAUGAAGUGCAUUUAACACGCGAACAAGCUUUAGCCGGACUAGAAAUCGAAGAACCAAUUGUGGCUGAUGUUGUUCAAAAACAUAACGAAUUCAUUGCCUCCCAAAGUCGACAAUGACCAAUGUCGAUGCGUCAAAGGCGUACCAUCCAAGUUGACUGUCGUGUAACAACACCUCAUUUUUGCCGUCUACUCAACCCAGGUCAUGGCGUCGGUCUAAACAAUCAAAACAAAUCAAAAAAACAAGAAAUGGCUUCCCGCAUUUUUAAUAAAUAAAAAAAAAAAAAAAUGUGAUGACUAAAACCCAAGUGUGAAUGAAUAUAAAAAUUAUAAACCAGAAAGGAACCAAACUAACCUAGCUAUGAAAUCCAUCGUAGCUAUAAUUCAAAAACAUCACAAAACUUUUAACAACAUUAUUUAAAUAAUAUAAAAAUAAUAUAUAUUUUUUUUUAAUUUUAAGUAAAUUAAUUUUUAUUUGCUUAUAAACAAAAAUAAUAAUGGAUAUAAAGGGUAUUUGUAGUUUUACAUUAAAAAAUAUAAUAAUAAUAAAUAAUAACAUUAGACCAAUUUCGA